AAAACCCUUUGCCACUGCCUAGGCUGAGCCGAACGUCUACCCCCAGAUCCUCUCGACAUCCAAGCCCGGUGCCACUGCCCAGGCACACAGCAAAGUCUACCCCCAACUUUCCACGGCCAAUGGAGCAUGGCACCGAGAAGGCAACACCCAGAUCCUCUCAACAUGCAAGCCCGGUGC